GACGUAGGGCGCAAGCGUUGUCCGGAUUUAUUGGGCGUAAAGAGCUCGUAGGCGGCUUGUCGCGUCGACUGUGAAAACCCGUGGCUCAACCAUGUGGUCUGCAGUCGAUACGGGCAGGCUAGAAUUCGGUAGGGGAGACUGGAAUUCCUGGUGUAGCGGUGAAAUGCGCAGAUAUCAGGAGGAACACCAAUAGCGAAGGCAGCUCGCUGGGACGGUACUGACGCUAAGGCGCGAAAGCGUGGGGAGCGAACAGG
rnacentral:rRNA from 1 species